rnacentral:rRNA from 4 species
CAAGUGAAGAAGCGCAUACGGUGGAUGCCUUGGCAGUCAGAGGCGAUGAAAGACGUGGUAGCCUGCGAAAAGCUUCGGGGAGUCGGCAAACAGACUUUGAUCCGGAGAUCUCUGAAUGGGGGAACCCACCUAGGAUAACCUAGGUAUCUUGUACUGAAUCCAUAGGUGCAAGAGGCGAACCAGGGGAACUGAAACAUCUAAGUACCCUGAGGAAAAGAAAUCAACCGAGAUUCCCUUAGUAGUGGCGAGCGAACGGGGAUUAGCCCUUAAGCUUCAUUGAUUUUAGCGGAACGCUCUGGAAAGUGCGGCCAUAGUGGGUGAUAGCCCCGUACGCGAAAGGAUCUUUGAAGUGAAAUCGAGUAGGACGGAGCACGAGAAACUUUGUCUGAACAUGGGGGGACCAUCCUCCAAGGCUAAAUACUACUGACUGACCGAUAGUGAACCAGUACCGUGAGGGAAAGGCGAAAAGAACCCCGGAGAGGGGAGUGAAAUAGAACCUGAAACCGUAUGCGUACAAGCAGUGGGAGCCUACUUGUUAGGUGACUGCGUACCUUUUGUAUAAUGGGUCAGCGACUUAUAUUCAGUGGCAAGCUUAACCGUAUAGGGUAGGCGUAGCGAAAGCGAGUCUUAAUAGGGCGUUUAGUCGCUGGGUAUAGACCCGAAACCGGGCGAUCUAUCCAUGAGCAGGUUGAAGGUUAGGUAACACUGACUGGAGGACCGAACCCACUCCCGUUGAAAAGGUAGGGGAUGACUUGUGGAUCGGAGUGAAAGGCUAAUCAAGCUCGGAGAUAGCUGGUUCUCCUCGAAAGCUAUUUAGGUAGCGCCUCAUGUAUCACUCUGGGGGGUAGAGCACUGUUUCGGCUAGGGGGUCAUCCCGACUUACCAAACCGAUGCAAACUCCGAAUACCCAGAAGUGCCGAGCAUGGGAGACACACGGCGGGUGCUAACGUCCGUCGUGAAAAGGGAAACAACCCAGACCGCCAGCUAAGGUCCCAAAGUUGUGGUUAAGUGGUAAACGAUGUGGGAAGGCUUAGACAGCUAGGAGGUUGGCUUAGAAGCAGCCACCCUUUAAAGAAAGCGUAAUAGCUCACUAGUCGAGUCGGCCUGCGCGGAAGAUGUAACGGGGCUCAAACCACACACCGAAGCUGCGGGUGUCACGUAAGUGACGCGGUAGAGGAGCGUUCUGUAAGCCUGUGAAGGUGAGUUGAGAAGCUUGCUGGAGGUAUCAGAAGUGCGAAUGCUGACAUGAGUAACGACAAUGGGUGUGAAAAACACCCACGCCGAAAGACCAAGGGUUCCUGCGCAACGUUAAUCGACGCAGGGUUAGUCGGUUCCUAAGGCGAGGCUGAAAAGCGUAGUCGAUGGGAAACAGGUUAAUAUUCCUGUACUUCUGGUUACUGCGAUGGAGGGACGGAGAAGGCUAGGCCAGCUUGGCGUUGGUUGUCCAAGUUUAAGGUGGUAGGCUGAAAUCUUAGGUAAAUCCGGGGUUUCAAGGCCGAGAGCUGAUGACGAGUCGUCUUUUAGAUGACGAAGUGGUUGAUGCCAUGCUUCCAAGAAAAGCUUCUAAGCUUCAGGUAACCAGGAACCGUACCCCAAACCGACACAGGUGGUCGGGUAGAGAAUACCAAGGCGCUUGAGAGAACUCGGGUGAAGGAACUAGGCAAAAUGGCACCGUAACUUCGGGAGAAGGUGCGCCGGCUAGGGUGAAGGAUUUACUCCGUAAGCUCUGGCUGGUCGAAGAUACCAGGCCGCUGCGACUGUUUAUUAAAAACACAGCACUCUGCAAACACGAAAGUGGACGUAUAGGGUGUGACGCCUGCCCGGUGCCGGAAGGUUAAUUGAUGGGGUUAGCGCAAGCGAAGCUCUUGAUCGAAGCCCCGGUAAACGGCGGCCGUAACUAUAACGGUCCUAAGGUAGCGAAAUUCCUUGUCGGGUAAGUUCCGACCUGCACGAAUGGCGUAACGAUGGCGGCGCUGUCUCCACCCGAGACUCAGUGAAAUUGAAAUCGCUGUGAAGAUGCAGUGUAUCCGCGGCUAGACGGAAAGACCCCGUGAACCUUUACUGUAGCUUUGCACUGGACUUUGAGCCUGCUUGUGUAGGAUAGGUGGGAGGCUUUGAAGCGUGGACGCCAGUUCGCGUGGAGCCAUCCUUGAAAUACCACCCUGGCAUGCUUGAGGUUCUAACUCUGGUCCGUAAUCCGGAUCGAGGACAGUGUAUGGUGGGCAGUUUGACUGGGGCGGUCUCCUCCUAAAGAGUAACGGAGGAGUACGAAGGUGCGCUCAGACCGGUCGGAAAUCGGUCGCAGAGUAUAAAGGCAAAAGCGCGCUUGACUGCGAGACAGACACGUCGAGCAGGUACGAAAGUAGGUCUUAGUGAUCCGGUGGUUCUGUAUGGAAGGGCCAUCGCUCAACGGAUAAAAGGUACUCCGGGGAUAACAGGCUGAUACCGCCCAAGAGUUCAUAUCGACGGCGGUGUUUGGCACCUCGAUGUCGGCUCAUCACAUCCUGGGGCUGAAGCCGGUCCCAAGGGUAUGGCUGUUCGCCAUUUAAAGUGGUACGCGAGCUGGGUUUAGAACGUCGUGAGACAGUUCGGUCCCUAUCUGCCGUGGACGUUUGAGAUUUGAGAGGGGCUGCUCCUAGUACGAGAGGACCGGAGUGGACGAACCUCUGGUGUUCCGGUUGUCACGCCAGUGGCAUUGCCGGGUAGCUAUGUUCGGAAAAGAUAACCGCUGAAAGCAUCUAAGCGGGAAACUUGCCUCAAGAUGAGAUCUCACUGGGAACUUGAUUCCCCUGAAGGGCCGUCGAAGACUACGACGUUGAUAGGCUGGGUGUGUAAGCGUUGUGAGGCGUUGAGCUAACCAGUACUAAUUGCCCGUGAGGCUUGACCA